UACGUAGGUCGCAAGCGUUGUCCGGAUUUACUGGGCGUAAAGAGCGCGCAGGCGGCUGAUCAAGUCUGAUGUGAAAUCUCCUGGCUUAACUGGGAAACUGCAUCGGAAACUGAUCGGCUUGAAGGUGGGAGAGGGUAGUGGAAUUCCCGGUGUAGUGGUGAAAUGCGUAGAUAUCGGGAGGAACACCAGUGGCGAAGGCGAAUACCUGGCCCACUCUUGACGCUGAGGCGCGAAAGCUAGGGGAGCGAACGGG
rnacentral:rRNA from 1 species